GAAAUGUAGGAGCAGUUAGAGGAAGGAAGAUAAGGCCUCACCUAGCCAACCCCAUGAUUUUCUUUGAAGAUUCUUGCAAGUACUAAAAUAGACAAAAGUCAACAUACAACCAAUGUAUUCACACAUAUAAAGUCAAAAUGAAGCUAUGUAAAAGGUACCCCUGUUGGCCACUAAUAUAAAUAAAAGAGCCAAUCCAUGGCUCAAAUGUUUAUCAAAAGCUGUCAAAUAACUGUCAUGCGAAUUUACUAUACUACAUCCCAUAAAAAGUAUUAUCACAAUUCAGAUCUAAAUC
rnacentral:misc_RNA from 1 species